rnacentral:rRNA from 1 species
GGCGACGAUCCGUAGCGGGUCUGAGAGGAUGAUCCGCCACACUGGGACGUGAGACACGGCCCAGACUCCUACGGGAGGCAGCAGUGGGGAAUUUUGGACAAUGGGCGAAAGCCUGAUCCAGCCAUGCCGCGUGAGUGAAGAAGGCCUUCGGGGUUGUAAAGCUCUUUCAGCCGGAAAGAAAUCGCGCAGGAUAAUACUCUGCGUGGAUGACGGUACCGGAAGAAGAAGCACCGGCUAACUACGUGCCAGCAGCCGCGGUAAUACGUAGGGUGCGAGCGUUAAUCGGAAUUACUGGGCGUAAAGCGUGCGCAGGCGGUUAUGUAAGACAGAUGUGAAAUCCCCGGGCUCAACCUGGGAACUGCGUUUGUGACUGCAUAACUAGAGUACGGCAGAGGGAGGUGGAAUUCCGCGUGUAGCAGUGAAAUGCGUAGAUAUGCGGAGGAACACCGAUGGCGAAGGCAGCCUCCUGGGCCAGUACUGACGCUCAUGCACGAAAGCGUGGGG